CAUCGAGACUCCUACGGGAGGGCAGCAGUGGGGGUAAUAUUGCACAAUGGGGGAAACCCUGAUGCAGCCAUGCCGCGUGUGUGAAGAAGGCCUUCGGGUUGUAAAGCACUUUCAGUAGGGAGGAAGGUAGUGUAGUUAACACCUGCACUAUUUGACGUUACCUACAGAAGAAGCACCGGCUAACUCCGUGCCAGCAGCCGCGGUAAUACGGAGGGUGCGAGCGUUAAUCGGAAUUACUGGGCGUAAAGCGCAUGCAGGCGGCCUGUUAAGUCAGAUGUGAAAGCCCCGGGGCUUAACCUCGGAAUUGCAUUUGAAACUGGCAGGCUAGAGUCUUGUAGAGGGGGUAGAAUUUCAGGUGUAGCGGUGAAAUGCGUAGAGAUCUGAAGGAAUACCAGUGGCGAAGGCGGCCCCCUGGACAAAGACUGACGCUCAGAUGCGAAAGCGUGGGGAGCAAACAGGAUUAGAUACCCUGGUAG
rnacentral:rRNA from 1 species